rnacentral:rRNA from 1 species
UAAAGAGGUCCCAAGCGUUGUUCGGAUUCACUGGGCGUAAAGGGUGCGUAGGUGGUAGGGUAAGUUUGAUGUGAAAGCUCCGAGCUCAACUCGGAAAUGGCAUUGAAUACUAUCCUGCUUGAGGGUUGGAGGGGGGACUGGAAUUCUCGGUGUAGCAGUGAAAUGCGUAGAUAUCGAGAGGAACACCGGUGGCGAAGGCGAGUCCCUGGACAACUCCUGACACUGAGGCACGAAAGCUAGGGGAGCAAACAGG